UGGGGAAUAUUGCACAAUGGGCGCAAGCCUGAUGCAGCCAUGCCGCGUGUGUGAAGAAGGCCUUCGGGUUGUAAAGCACUUUCAGGGAGGAGGAAGGGUAGUGUGUUAAUAGCACAUUGCAUUGACGUUACUCGCAGAAGAAGCACCGGCUAACUCCGUGCCAGCAGCCGCGGUAAUACGGAGGGUGCAAGCGUUAAUCGGAAUUACUGGGCGUAAAGCGCACACAGGCGGUUUGUUAAGUCAGAUGUGAAAUCCCCGCGCUUAACGUGGGAACUGCAUUUGAAACUGGCAAGCUAGAGUCUUGUAGAGGGGGGUAGAAUUCCAGGUGUAGCGGUGAAAUGCGUAGAGAUCUGGAGGAAUCCCGGUGGCGAAGGCGGCCCCCUGGACAAAGACUGACGCUCAGGUGCGAAAGCGUGGGGCGCAAACA
rnacentral:rRNA from 1 species